AAGCCAGAACCAGAGAUAGAGCCAGAACCAAAGCCAAAACUACAGACAAAAUUAUUAGAGACGGAUUGAAACUCAGGAGCUGCGGUCAGCAUUUGGACAACUUCCUUGAAAUUAAUCGGUUCGACUCUAUAGAUUUUAGGAGGUGUUGGUGGCAAUGGUGCAAUUGGUAAUUUAGUCAUUGGUUUUGAUGGGAGUUUUCUAACUCCAUGAAGUGAGGAAUGAUAUGAAGGUAAUGUUUUAUUUUUAUUAUUAGAAGAAUUAGAAGAUGAAGAAAAAGAUACAUAUGAAUAAGAAUCCAUUUUAUUUUUUUGUAUGUCCUAAGUUUAUCUAAACAAGAAAAUUUUAUUAAGAUGAAUACAUUUGGUGCUUUUGCUCUAGGUGUUUGCUUAUAUAUAUAUAGAAAGAGAAGGUGACAACAAUAUGCAACUUGUCUUAAAUAAGGAAACCUGUAUACCGAAAUUAGGAAACUUGUAUAUCGAGAUAAAUUCAAAAUUUUGAGUUUAUGCAUUUUGAAUACUAGAAAUAAAACAGUUUACUGAGUUUUAAAUAAAUUACUUAUACAUAUUUUAUGAAUUUCUUAAUAUAAACACAAAAUUUCGACUAAUAUUAUUAAGUUCUAGCGAAUUUUAAGGAGAAAAGAGUUAGAAAUAUAUCUAAACUUUGGCGAAAUUUGUUGUAACACGACUCAACUUUGCGGGGAUCCUAUGACCCCCUCGACUAUUUAUUACCGCAUUUCUGUGGCAUAUAUUUGUCAAGCUGGACCACUUCAGACCCACACGCGCUCAGUGUGCGUGUAUUCAUACAAUAGUCCAGCUAAGUAAAUAUAUGCCACAGAAUACGAUAAUAAAUAGUCGAGGAGGUCAUAGGACCCUCGCAAAGUUGCGACAUGUUACAAUAAAUUUCGUUAAAAUUGAUGUAUAUUUCGAAGUCUUUUCUCAAUUUUAAAUUAAAAUUCUAAUUCCGCCUCAACGCAAUAAUUUUUUUUUUUUUGUCUAAAGCGCCGGCUAUUGCUGAAUAUGAUGUAACAUUACAACUUGCCAUGUCUAGUCUAUAAUAUAUUUGACCAUAUAUUAUAAUAAUAUUGCCCCCAUUUUUGUUUAAUUCUUAAUUACAUAUAUAGUCACUUUGAAUUUUUUCUGUUCUAUCUAUGCCAGUACUAAGUCAUAAGGUGUAAUUAAUUCAGGAUAUAAUUUAUAUUUUUUAUGUAUGUUUUUUUAAUAGUUGGAGUAGGAAGUGGACUGACAUGAUAAGUUAUUAUAUAUGUAUAUCUAAAAUAAUUAAAAUAUUAGGAAUCUAUGCGAUUAUGCACGCUUCAUGUAUUUUUUAUUUAUUUUUUUACUGACGUGAUUGUCAAGUAGCAGAAUAUUUUUGUGCAUUUUUUGUGCUGAUAUGAUUGUGAAGAACAAAUUUAUUUAUAUAGUUUAUCAAUAGGUCUAGCUACAAGUUUGUUGAUGUUAACUAUUCAUAUUUGGAUUUUAUGAUAAGGUACAUGAACCUUCAUAAUAGUUUAAUUAAAAUGAAUUUAAUUGGAUAAUUGUUUGUACUUAUAGUAAAGUUCAUAAUAGAAACAGCCAAUAUAUAGAUUCAACUUGUUGAAUAAAUAAAAAAAUUUAAUUCAAUGACAAAAGACUAAAUAUAAUGAGAUAAGCAUCCAGUAGUUUCUGAACUACGAUUAAAGUUACUAAGACACACUCCAAUUUUACAAGGAUUUUAUUAACCCUGAACUUAAUUUUAAUGUAUUUUUAUCAUCACCUAUUUGUACUGACAUGACAUCUUUAUUACAUAAAAUGAAGCCCACAUCAAAGGUGUCACGCCAGCUAAAAAAGUUGACAGAAGGUGUCACGUAAGCUAAAAAGGUUGAUAUAAAUAUGCUAAAAUUUAGUUUAGGGGAGUAAUAGGACUCCCGUGAAGUUGGAAUGUGUCGUAGCAAAUUUGGUCAUAGUUCCGGAGUGUACUAGAUGCUUUACUCCUAUAUAAUGGUUAUAUGUUCGUGUGACCAUUCGAGAAAUAAUUACAUUAUAUUUUUGGUUGAUUUUAUAACAAAUCAACUAAAGAGGAAUUUUUGAAAACGAACAGCCCGGUGCAUUAAGCUUCCGCUAUGCGCAGGGUUCGAGGAAGGACUCGACCACAAGAAUCUAUUAUACGCAGCUUCAUCUUACAUUUCUGGACGGGACUGUUUUCAAGACUUGAACCUGUAACCUCCUGAUCACAUGAGUAACUUUACCUACUGUUUUCCUGAAUCGAGAGUAUUUUCACUUCCACAAUUGUCCGAUUUCUUGAAGGCCCACAUCGUGCAUGAUUUGGACCUUACUCGUACUUUAAAAACUAGCUCAAAAGAAGAAGAAAUAUCCAAAUCAUAUAAGAAACUCAGAAUCUCAUUCAUUUUUCGAUGUGAAACACUUCCAUUUAUCGUAAGUAUAAUUGGUUGAUUUUUCUCGUCGAUUCAUAUCUAUAUUCUAAGUCGAAAAUAUUGAGAACUCAUUAAACACAGAGGCAGAGCCAGGAUUUCUACUGAGGGUAUUCAAAACCUGAAGAAAAUUCACCAAAGGGAGUUCAACAUCUGCAAUAUAUACAUAAAAAUUAUUUUAAUACUGUAUUAAUAAUAUAAUUUUCCGUCAAAGAAAGUUCGAACGAACCCCCUAUUACUAGGCUGGCUCCGACUCUGACUAAACACAUCAGCACAUGCAUUAAAUUUUUUGUGAUUCCUAUAUAGUUGUUAUAAGUUUCUAGUUAUACAAGUAAUUAAUGAUAUUCAAGUCCAUUUCUAUCACUUCAAAAUUUUGGUUAUAAAGUAUUUUUCAAAUUCCAUCCAUUUAACUAUAUUUGUCUAUGUUACUAAAUUAAAAAUUAAUGAUUGAUUUAUCCAUCUGUGUUCAUUUUACACUUAGAUACUAUUCAUUAAUAUAUUUCUUAAAAACAUUGAAUUAAUUGUAUUCAAAUUAGAUCUCUUGUAUUGUAGUUGUAUUUAUACAUCAUUGUACAUACGUGAAUCAAAAAAAGAAAAUGAUUUUCUUUCUCAAGUCCAUUUAGUAAUAUCCACUAAAAUUAUUUGUGUAAUAUCAUAGCAAUCUCGCAGAGAAGAGACAACAAAUAUAUUAAGUAGGGUUCAGUUCUCAAUGCACUUAUAAAAUCAAACAAUGAGAAUCAAAGACGAUUAAAGAAUUGAUUGUGUGACUUAUGAUUCUCUGUCGAGAUAAACACCAAAGUUCGAUGGUUCAAAGAUAUUAAAUUUACUAAUUGACCGAGUAUAUACAAGUAAAUAAAUAAGCAAGUUAAUAUUUUGUCUAGAAGUUAAUAAACUCAAUCAACUUUGUUUAUCGGGGUAUAUAUAACACUUGAACUUUGUUCCAAAUUUCUUGGCUAUUUUAGAAAAGCAUUUAGCACUAAAAUCUCAACACACUUGGGUACUACACAAAUUAAAAAUUAACAUAAAUUUGGAAAUACAAAAUAUUUGAUCAUGUUUGAAAUAAUGAAAAUGGAAAAAAAGAAAAGAAAAGCAACCUCAUCAAAUAUUUGAGUUGUGAUAUCAAAAUUUAGAUAUUACAAUUCAAAUUCUUGAUACACCCAUAAGUAAAUAAUAAUAAUAUUAGUAGUAAACAUCAAGAAAAUAAAUAAGUUACAAACUCUCAAAUGAUUUGAACCGUGCUUGGUGAAGUGAGUGUGCCAGGGCUGAGAAGAAUAGAAGAACACCAUGCAAAAGAAGCGGGCGAUAGAGAGAAAUUAGCCAACGGAUUACACGAUCCAAAAUAAUUUUCUGAUGGGAUUCGAGACGUUACAUGUGAUCUUUCUUGUGCUUCAAUUAUCGUCGAGUCAAUACAUGCAUGUCUUGUCUGAUUCAACUCGUGCCAUUGUGCAUCAAUAUUAUUAUUUCUCUGUAAUGAAACCGGUGAGAGAUCAAGUGGAGGAGGAGCAACAUCUUGUAGACGCCUCGAAUUGAAAGAACCAGAACCAAAGACAGAACUGAUAACAGAAUUAUUACAGACGGAUUGAAACUCAGGAGUUGCUGUCAGCACUUGAACAACUUCCUUAAAAUUAAUCGGUUCGACUCGAUAGAUUUUAGGAGGUGUAGGUGGCAAUGGUGCAAUUGGUUGUUUAGUCAUAGGUUUUGUUGGGAUUUUUCUAACUCCAUGAAGUGAAGAAUAAUAUGAAGGUAAUAUUUUUUUAUUUUUUUUCACUUCUUUUGGAUAGAUUAAAAAAGUAUUAUUAGAAGAAUCUGAAGAAGAAGAAGAUGAUAAUGAGGAUGAAAUAGUUAUAUAUGAAUAAGAAUCCAUUUAACUUUUUCUAGGUUAAAAGUAUGUCUUAGCAAGAAA
rnacentral:lncRNA from 1 species